GACAGUCCAAAAACCGCGACGCUCGUUCCGUACAAGGCGCUUUGACGCGUCCAAAUUCGCGAGCGGGUUAAGGUCUGAGGAUUACAUAUCCCUCUCGAUCGACUCUAGCCGGGUCUUACCGGUGUCCAAACGAAACGACGUACCAGAAACACGGCUGGCUUGCUCUCGAAUGGCGAAGACUCCCGUACCGUGGACGAGUCUAUCGAGCCUCGCUCUCGCCGGGCCUAGGAGCCAAGGUUGUUCUCGCAACGUAGCCUUUAAAACGUCGUAGGGAUUGGGGAGGCCAAGCGUACGUUGCUCCACACAUCUUUCUCAUUCUGUGCCCUUUUGGGCUGGCGGGGGCACAUCUCGGGCCAUGCUGUUGCGCUAUUGAAGCGGCACGCUGGCUGUCGUAGUCAGAAGCACUGUCGUAGUAAAUAUGCUCACAGGGCGAGCUGCGGCAUGUAGUCUUCAGGAAUAGUGAGGAUGAUGUUACGUGAAACUCCAUUACUAUGUCUCCCCUUCAGUGCACUUCGCGGUCUCCGGAACUUAGUCCCGGGGAACUCGAUUCAGACUACUCUUGGGUUGUC
rnacentral:RNase_P_RNA from 2 species